GUUUUAUUAAUUUAUUCCGUGGCUUUAGUCUCCAGUGUUAUUGUGUUGCUUGUCUCUGUUUAUCGGUUUUGAUCGUUUUGAUUGAGUGUUCACGAGUGAGGAAAUUACUUCUGCGUGGUACAAACCGUCGAAGCUAGCGGUCACUGUGGUUCCGUAGAAUUCAGGAAAGGCAGCUACCUCAAUUUAAGAAUUUGGCUUUUAUCAUUUGCUAGAACAUAACGGAACUUCAAUGAAAUUUACACCAAAGGAAGAUGGUGCAUUUGACCGCGAUGAGUAGUUGCUGGAGGAGCGAUUACUGAUGAUGCGGGAGGAGAGGAUGGAACAAUGUAGCUACAACAAAACGACAACACAGAAAAAGAAAGGUGUAAAAGAUUGUGUAUUAGGCCACUUUCUGCAUAGUUUUAAGUUAUAUAUAUUGUUUAUUCAAAAGCAAGCUUAAUCAGUAAUCUGUAAAUCUGUAUUAGGACAUAAAAAAGUUAAAGGGUAUGUGCUUGAGUGCACAAACGUAGGCUUGACGUGGGACUAUUGUGGGUGUAAAGAUUCAAUUCUGCCAUAGCCAUAGUAUAAAACACACACCAAACGUACAAAUACCAAACACAACAAUCCAUGAACACUUCACAAAAAAACACAUACACCUGUCAUAAACCAUAGCAUACAAACUAAUAGGAAAAAUAAUUGUUGCCUAAAAAAGUAUUCUGUCAUGAAUAAAUUUACCUCGGAUGAAUGCAUUUUUGCACACACAUACACGUUAUACACACUCACACGCUAUAUACACACACUACUCACAAGCACACGUUCCUCAGACACACCCACGCCACUUACACACAUACACACACGCCACUCACACACACACAAACAUUAACACACACACACAAACAUUAACACACACAACGUUAACACACACACAAACAUUAACACACACUCACACACACACACACACACACACAAACAUUAACACACACAC